rnacentral:tRNA from 1 species
AGGUGUGGCAUUAGGAUUUCAAAGCUCCAGAGAGCGCGGUGCCCCGCGGGUUCAGUUCCAGCCC